GAGAUGUGACAAGACCAAUCUCGCCACUGUGCAUUGGAGGAGCCUGGUUGCCUGCCUGCUGCCUUUUGACUAUGGACCGGCAUUUAAAUACUUUAUUUUCCUAUGCAGAAAGGUCUAUUCAUGCAUUUCUGCCCUGGCGUUCGGUAGAUUCUCGGAUUUACUGAAUGAACUCAUUUAACCCAGAUAGCUAUGCCAUGGAGCCUAUUCGUGUAAUAAAAAACUUUGGCUCCAUGGCAAUUGAACUAAAUGUGUGUGGUCUGAGUGCCAUUCAGUAAUAAUGUGCGCUCAGACCUAAGCUAUCUGGGGAUAUGUUGCAUGUCU